ensembl:lncRNA
CUUAAUCACAUUAACAUUUUAUUUAAAGAAAUAAAAAUAAAAACGAAUUUUCAUGAUUGUACUUAUUAUUACGACGAUAUGAUUACAUGUAUAUCAAAACUUGUUAAUAAAUAUAUUGAAAAUAACAGUACACUUUUUCAAAAUUAUUUGCAAUUUAUAAAAUUCUUUAUUGAUCAUAAUAAAAAUUUAGUUUCUGUACAAAAUGUGAAAAAAGUAAUGAAUGACAUUGAAGUAUUUAAAAAAAAAAAAAUAACCGCUUUUGAAAAUACUCGAUGGAAUAAUGUACAAUUUUAUAGUAUUCAAAAUAUGUAUAACAGUAUGAGUAGUAAUAUUCACUUCAGAUUUAAGAACAACAUAGACGAUAAUUUUAAACGACAUGAUGACAAUAAACAUAUGGUUAAUGAAAAAUGUACUGAUCAGAUGAGUAAAGACGUUAAAAUUUGUGAGUCUCUACAAAGUUUUAGUAGCAACGAAACGGAUAAGUGCGAAAUGGCUAGCUACAAAAAAGGGUAUAUUAUGAAUAGUGCUAUUAACAGCUGUAACAAUAAUUGUACAUCAAAUGUAUUAUGUAAAAAUGUUAAGCAACAUAAUUUAACAUAUGAUUAUUGUAUUUUAGAUGUAGGAGGAGGAAAAGGUGAUUUAGGUAUAUAUAUUGCUUUAACUUUUAAAAAUGUUUUAGUUAUAAUAUUAGAUAUUAAUGUGAAUUCUCUUUUUAGUUGUUUUAUUAAAGUGUAUACAAACAAAAUUUUUAAUAUUUUAAUAAUGCAUGAAUCUAUAUUAAAUUUCGAUUUUAAAAAAUAUAAAAUAGAUUUGAUUGUUGGUUUACAUUGUUGUGGUGGAUUAACUGAUUACACUAUUAGAAAAUGUACUAAUGAAAAAAUUCCUUUUUUAAUUUGUUCUUGCUGUUAUACAAAAUUUAAAGAAUAUAGAAAAUAUGUAUUUGAUUUUAAGAAUGAUAUAAUAUUAAAUGAAAUAAACAACUACAUUUUCGACAAAAAAUACUAUUCAUACAUGAACUACAUUUGUGAUGACACUUUGAACGGAAAUGAAAAUUGUUUAUUAUCACUUAGUAGUAAUAAUAACAAUGGUAGUAGAAAUAGCAGUAGUCGUAGUCGUAGUCGUAGUCGUAGUCGUAGUCGUAGUCGUAGUNNNNNNNNNNGUAGUCGUAGUCGUAGUCGUAGUCGUAGUCGUAGUCGUAGUCGUAGUAGUAGUAGUCGUAGUAGUAGUAGUAGUAGUGCGUGUGGCAGUAGUAACAAUAACAUGGAAUGUUCAAAUAAUGAAUGUGUUUUUUUUAAUGAUAUAAAUAAUUUUAACAAUAAUAAACAGGAGAUGAGUGUUAGUAGUAAUAAUAAUAAUAACUGUUAUAUGAAUUCAAAAGAAAUAGAACUUGACAAUUUAAAUGAUAAAUUAUGUAACGAAAACAGUUAUGCUGAUAACAAAAUAGCAGAAAAAAAUAUAUUAAAUAAAAAAGAUAUAGGGAGUGAUGGUCUUGCUAAUGGCAAUAACCAUCAUAGUAAUAAUAAUGACGAAAACGAAAUUAAUAAAUGUUUUCAAAAGUAUGAUAAAUAUACAGUAAAAAUAAAAAGAAGAACUAUACCAAAUACAUAUUCGUUUGUAAAUUUAUUGGCUAAGUUAUGUGAAAGUGAAAAUAAGAGCAUAUCAUUUAAAUGUAUGCAUUUUUAUAAUAAUUUAAGAUUUAAAAUUUUACAGAAGUUAUUUGAUACUAACCAAAUGUUAGAAAAAAAAGGUAAAUUGCAAUUGUCAUUACAUUCGUUUCCAGUGGCUUUCUCCCCAAAAAAUAUCGUUUUGAAGGGUUAUUUUUGUUAAGACGGGUGUACAUAAAUAAAUAAACUACUAAACUAAACGAAUAAAAAAAA